GCGUGCGGUACAUUUAGCGGCUGCCUCAGACUACAGAACAGAGCAUUAAGAGAAAACAGUUCAAUAUAGCUGAAUGCGAAACGUGCGCGAAGUGAGCAGCAGCAGUAGCAGCAGCAGCAGGCAGCCCCAUUGGCCAACUGAGUGAAGUCGCAAACGCAAUUUAGUGCCAACUCAUGUAAUUAAAGUGCAACAACAACAACAACAACAAAACGGACAAUGUGAACGAAUAUAAUUUAAUUAUGAGAUAAUCGUGCAAAUCACAAAACAAAACAAAGCAAAACAGAAUCAGGCACACGGCAAAAGGAAAUUAGAGCAACGACAAGCAGGACGAGGAGAACGAGGAGGACGUAAAAAGGGUUCAAACUUUGCCACGCGGAUCGCGAUGCACACGGGGCAAAUGCUGGCGGCAAGCUGCUGGCAGGCAAUGCAAACAAACAGUUCCUGUGCCAUCUACCACACACACACAUAUACUAUAUAGAUAUAAAUAUAUACAGAUACAAAUGUGCAGCUAUAGAUACAGCAUGCAUGCGAAUUGAUGUUGAACAUGUGCCAAAGCUUUGCGCUGCUGUUAGCUGCCGCGAGGGCAACAACAACAACAACGACGACGCCGUUGCCACUUGAUUUUGGCCAAGUUAAAUAAACAGGGCAACAGACAUAUGCACACACACAUACGCACAUCGAGCUAUUUCUCGCACACACGCCUAUAAACCAUAAAUAAGGCUAAAGAGGGAGAUAGAUAGAUAGAGAGAGAGAGAGAGUUGUCAACAAACUGUUUGUUUUUUGUUUUCGUUGCCCCGUCGUGUUGGCUUGAAGCAUUUGUCCAGCCAAAAUGGCAGCGCCCAUCGAUGAGAGCGUACUCAAUGCGCUGCGAGGCGUCACCACCGCCCAGACACGCCUACCCAAGCCGCUGCUCAUCAAAAUCUACGUCGCCAGCCUGAAGCAGGAAUUCUAUCAGGAGCGACGCAUGCUGCUCGAGCUGGUCGGACCCGAACUGCAAACCCUCUACGACGAUCGUCAAAUCGAGCUGGAAAUCGUGGACAUGCACUUUGGCACCGGCGCCCUGGAGGUGACACAGCUGGACCGUGAUCCGUAUAUGCUGGCCGACUAUCUGCACGAGAUCGACACUUGCCAUGCCCACUCGAAAAGCGUUUUCUUCUUGGCCCUGAUUGGCGACGGCAUUGGGCGCCCGCCGCUGCCCACGCACAUCGACGCAGACAUCUACGCAGCGCUGCUGGCCGCGGAGCAGGUGACAGCGCCAGACAAAGAGUUGUUGGCGCGCUGGUAUACAGUUGCCAGCAAACCCAAGCAGCAGCACGUACUCAAACGGGACUAUUGCUCGUUGACCGCAGAUGAGUGGCUGGCCGAAUCACGACAGCUGCGACAAGUGCUGGACAGAUCUCUGCAGCAUCUGGCGGCAACAACAAAGGCAGAUCUGCUGCGGCGUGUGCAGCUGCUGCGCCGCACUCAAAUCGAACAGGAAGUGCAGCAGGCAAUGGCCCACUCGAGCGAGAAGAUAUUGGCCGUGUUCCGGGAACGUGCUGCCCAGUGCAGCGGCCGGGAUGUGGAGGCGGGCGAGCGAUUGCGUAAAAUCAAGGAUGAGCUGACCAUGAACCUAUCAACGGAUAAUCACACGACUCUAGUUGUGCCUGGUAACGCCAGCAGCGAGGCCAUCGAUCCGGACAACGAGGACCACGAGGCAUAUUUAAGUAAAUUCAAGAACAAAGUCACCGACAAGCUGCGUCUGCUAAUCGAGGCGCACAUUACAAAUGAUCCCGAUGUAAUCAAGGGGAGGAAAAAGACUGUGCAGGAAAUCUUUCACGAGCAUGCCACACAUUUGCGCAUACUGCGCGAGCAUACGGAACGUGUGGCCCUCUUGGAGUCGCGUGUGCCGGCCCAGUUGCGGCAGAAUUUGAUGGCGAAUUUCAGGAAUGGCAGCCGACAUGCACCGUACUUUAUAUGCGGCGCCCAUGGCAGCGGCAAGAGUGCGUUGAUUAGCGCUCUCUAUGGGCAGGUGUCGGGCUGGUUUAGUUCGACGCGCGUGCAUCGGGUGAUACGGUUCGCCAAGGCCACGCCCCGUUCGGCAUACAAUUUGGAAUUGUUGCGCGUCAUCUGCCAGCAGAUUUCGAUCAUCUUCAACAUACCCGAGGGCUACUUGCCCAAGGACGCCUCGUUCGAUCCGCUGUACAUUAGCAACUGGUUUCAGAAUCUGUUGCGUCGCAUCGAGGACAUGAACAAUGAUGUGCUGUUCCUGUUCAUUGAUGAUCUGCAUCUGCUGAAUCCGCUGGACUGUGACAUUGUUGCGGCUCUCUCCUGGCUGCCCACAUCGCUGCCCUGGAACGUGCAGAUCAUCUGCAGCUCGACCACGCCCGUCGAACAGCUCAAGUUCACGCCCAUGCAGCGCGAUCGCUUCAAGUCAGCGGAAUAUCAAUUCGUGCUCUCCCACGAGGCAAAUGCCACGCAGCUGCAGAAGCCAGAGGAAUGUCCACCGGACGUCGACUUUGUCACCUAUGUGGAGCAGCAGUUCGACGAGCUGGAGCAGCAGUACGGCCGCCAGGCGGUGGCCAGCCUGGCCGCCUACAUCACCUGCUCGGAGUACGGCCUGACCGAGACGGAGCUGCUGGAGCUGCUGAUGCCCACCGAUGAUCCCGAAUCGCUAAUCGAUACGCACAAUGGACACUUUAGCUUCGCCAGCUUCAAGAAGAUACACAAGCAAAUGGACAAGCGAUUGUUGCUGCACGAUAAAAUCAUGUCCGGCAAGGUGCUUCUACAGUGGCGUCACAACUAUUGUGCCAGCCUCGCCAAGCAACGUUAUAUGGACGUGGAGCGCACACGCAGCCUGCACAUGGAGCUGGCCAAUUUGUUUUUCCCACAGGACGAGGACGAGAGCACGUUGGAGAACGACUCGACCAGAAGCGAUACAAAGUCUGUCAUCAGCUUGAGGGAGCGUGAGCCGCAGCACAAGGACAAGGAACGUGAGAAGGAUAACGUUUCGGCUGGCCGUAAAUCAUCGUCAACGCAUCACAACGACGACACAUCCACCUUUUACAAUCCCAUUGCCGCCGAUGUCUCGUACAGCAUGCGGCACGUCGAGGAGAGCUGGCAUCAUCUGAUGCGGUCCGAUGACACGACGCGCUUCAAGCAAAUCGCAGUCUGCAAUUUUGAUUUCCUGCUCGCGGCGGUGCAAACGGUAUCGAUUAGCUACCUGCGCUGCCUAAUAGAGCACGUGCGCUGCUACAUUCUGGAUCGUGACAUUGAGCUCAUUUACUACACCAUACGCAAGUCGAGCGACGUCCUCACCCGCGAUCCCAUGCAGCUGGGCUCCCAGCUGGUCUCCUGGCUGCGGCCCAUCGGGGAGCACGACGACGACGACAACUCGCUGCUGAGCAUGACGGUGCGCUCGGCGACGGCCUGGUGCGACGGUUACGCUGUGCCGCUGCUGGUGCCGCUCACCGGCUGGCUGCCCGCGCCGCUGCCCUCCCAGAUACGCACCAUGACGGUGACCGGUACGGGCGUCAUACGCGCCGUCUGCCUGGCGCCCUCUCACCAGCACCUGAUAUUGGCCACCAACUCGGGCGACGUCCAGCAGUGGCACAUCAUGAGCAACUCGCUGGAGCAUACGUACAAGGGACACACGGCGGCAGUCACGUGCCUGCUGGUGGCGCCCCAGCAAUCGCAGCUCCUGCUGACCGGCUCCGAGGACUCGACCGUAUUGGUGUGGCACGUGUCGCUGCGCGAAAGACGAGCGCACAUUAAAGCUCACACGGCGGCCAUAACGGGCGUCGCAGCUGGCGUCAACAACACGCUGAUCAUUAGCAGCAGCGACGAUGCAACAAUUGCCAUCACAGACCUGGCCAGCGGCAAAUUGGUGCAUCGCAUCACCUUCCAUCGUGGCCCAGUUACAGGUAUCCUGGUCGCCGGCGCCUGCGAUGUGCUCAUCUCGAGCAGCCACGACAAGAACAUCUGCGUGUGGGAUCUGGAGAACUACGCCUUAUUGAAUACCAUGCAAAUGACUAGCUCGGUGCUGCGCAUCGAUAUCUCCUGCAAUUCGGUCUUUUUGCUGGCGCUCUGCGAGGAUAAUGCGCUCUACGUGCGCACCCUGGCCACCGGAAAGGAGCUGCACACGCUCAAGGGGCACAAAUCGCGGGUCCGCAGCAUUUGUAUUGGCAAGGACAGCCAGCGGUGCGUGGUGGGGUGCGAGGACACGCGCGCCCUUAUCUACGACAUGCACUCGGGCAAAUUGGUGCGCUCGAUGCCGCCGAAUCCGGGUCCGGUGACCGCCGUCUAUGCCAUGGACAACGACGACUUUGUGAUCACCGUGGGCGGCAACAAGAUCACGUUCUAUUCGUUCCGCAACGAGGAGCUCUAUGUGAACCCGUACUCGAGGCAUCCGCGUCGCAAGCGCAGCCUCAAGCGCCACAACCAGGCGCAGCGCUCGCCCUCGACGACGCUGCCGCCGAUCACCUGCUUCGACCUGUCGCGCGACUCGCAGCAGGUGGCCAUUGCCUCCGGCCGGAGUGUGCACCUGAUGCGCAUCAAUACGCCGGAGUACCAGAACACCCUGGAGGGGCACACCUGCGUGGUGAACUGCCUGAAGUUUGCGCCCAAUGGCGAAUUCCUGGCCACCGGCGGCGAUGAUCGUUUGGUCCAGGUGUGGAGCUUGGCGCUGGCCGAGAUCACUCAUACAUUCAAGGGCCAUGCGGCGCCCGUUAUGCAGCUGGUCGUGCUGAUGGACUCGCUGCGGGUCAUCUCCACGGAUCGCGAGUCCAUGAUGCUCGUCUGGAUGGCCGACUCCGGCAAUCUGCUGCAGACCAUACAGGGCCCCUACAAGAAUCUGGCGGCCACCAACAACAUGCGCUUCGCCGUCUCCAGCAAUGGCGACAACACGCUCAAGAUCUGGUCCCUCACGCAGGAGGACGAGAAGUACUCCGUCUCGCACUCGGACGAGAUCACCUGCUUCGAGAUCAGCGCGGACAGCAUGCACAUUAUCACCGGAUCGAGGGAUAUGUCGCUCAAGGUCUGGCAGUCGAUGGGCGGCAAGCUGAGCCAGGUGCUUGUCGGGCACAGCGAUGCGGUCACCUGCGUCGCCGUCUCGGUGACCAACAAGACGCAAGUCAUCUCCGGCUCCAAGGACAUGAACCUAAUCAUAUGGGAUCUGCUCACCGGCGAGGAGGUGCACACGCUCGCUGGCCAUCUGGGCGCCGUCAUUGGCGUCAAGGUGUCGGCCGAUGGCUCCACGGCCGUGUCGGGCAGCGAUGACAAGACUCUAAUUGUCUGGGAGACAAAGCGCGGCCUGGCGCUCACCUCGCUGCAGAUGCACGUGCCCUUCACCCACUUCGACAUCAGCCUGGAGGUGUCGCGCGUGCUCGUCCAGCUGGUCGAUAGCUACAAUUUGCCAGUCAUCUGCUUGCACAAUACGCCGGCCCAAUAUGUCAAGCUGCCCACCUACUCCGGUCCCAGCAAGGAUGUGGAAGAUUUGCGUCCGCAGGGACCCAAGCGGCAGAUGAAGCGCUUGCUGAAGAAGGAAGUCUCCCUGGACACGUACACCUGGCAGAAGAAGUACGGUCACCUGACCUCGUCGGUGAUGAUGGCCCAGGUGGAUGAGCGGCUGAAGCGCCGCUUCAGCGUCUCCGCCAGCAUGGAGGAGAUCUCGAAGAUAGCCGAGACCAAGACGGGCGCCUCCCAGGCCAAUCUCGGGCCCGAGCAGGCCGCCUUGGCCCAGUCGCAGCACUUUGAUCAGCUGGAGGCGCUGUGGAACAAGCGCUCGCCGCCACGUCGACGCCACAAUGCGGGUCUGUCGCGGCAGACGUCGCUGGUGGAGGACCGCUUAGAGUCCUCCGACGAUGAUGAAUAUCAGGAUGAGCGCGCAGCAACCACCAGUUUGAAAACCAGUUCCCGCAGCUCACUGCAGCAUGCAUCACAGCAGUAAAGAAAACAACAACAACAAUAACUGCAACAACUACAACUACUACAACAACAACACAGCAACGCCUGCGUAUGAUAAAUAAUCAAAUAACAAAAUAUUUAUCAAUUACCAUUUAUCACUUGGCUAAAACAACAUUUCCAGUAAUAACAGCUCGGACAGCAUAGAACAACAAGAAACCUUUCUCUUUGCCUCUCUUUUGUCUCUGUGCUAUUUGGCAUGCUCUGUCUCGCUCUCUCCCUGUCACUGUCUCAACUAAACUGUGCGCGCACCGAGCCCGAACCCGAUUCGUGUCCUUCCCCUCCGAUUCUAGUCGCCAAAAUGUUUCCCAACUUUUAUCUUUAUGACGUGCUUAAUUGAUCAAAUUUGUACUUUCUAGACGAUUUCGACGAGUUCUUUUAGUCUAAUAGAACAAAUACACACACACACACCCACAAGCAAACAAACAAACAAACACGUUUAUAAACUUAUCUAAACUGGGUUAGACUCGCAAUCCGCAUUACCUUUCAAAGAUACAAGCAUACCUCACUGCAAAUGCUGAAAUAUUUUUGAGAGCUCUACAUCAGAUUUAUAAAAUAAAUAAAUACAAAUUAUAAAAAACUACAAAUCUAUAAUAGGCAAUAAACACUAAAUGAAGAUAUAUAGCUUAGAUUGUACACUUAGUUGUUGGCCACCUUAAACCCCAGAAAAAAAAAAAAAACUUCUCUCUCUGUCUGCAAGUAAAGCUGCGAACUGGCUCAAAUCAUUUCGCUACAGGAGGAGGAGGAUACCACAAAGGAUAAGGCCUAAGACCCGCACUUGGCUAAUGCAUAAACGUUAAUUACACUAGUGAUCUAAGUAAAUGUUUUAAAUGUUAAGCAAUAAUUGAGCAAUUGGCUUCGACACACACACAUACACCCAUACAACAAUACAACCAUACACUCCUACACUCACAUACUAAGCCCCAAAAACUCAAGUGAUCUCCCUUUGAUAAAUAUCUAAAUACCUUACCUUACUUAACUUUAUAAUUCACUUGUUUCAUUUCGAGUUCAGUUCCAUAUUUCUAUAUACUCGAGUAAAACUCACAUUUAGUUUCGUGCUUAGAAAAAGAAAACCCUUUCUAAAAAUUGUAGUCUCUAAUUGCAAAAAACCACCGUCUCAGACUUUAUAUAGAAUUUAGCUUGCUAAGUGAACAAAUUUUGAAAUUUUAAUGUUGUAGAACGUUUUAUGUACUUGAAACUAACAACUAAAUGUUGCUAGACAUAUAUAGCAUGUAGAUUAUAUAGAGGACAAAAAAAACAAAAACCAGAAAAAACUUCAAUAAGGGGUUAAAAGCGUAACUAUGCUUAACAAACAAAACAAAGGAAGAUAAACAAGAAACCUAAAGCGAAAUCCAACAGUUUGUCACAAAGUAAGGCCACAACAAAUGCUGAAUCUUAAGCAAACUAGAAAUUUAUAAACAACUUAAUCAAAGAGCACACUUGAUUUCCGUUGCAGUUUCAGUUUCAGCAUUGUAAAUA
rnacentral:misc_RNA from 1 species